ACCUACUGUUUAAUUUUGAGGGUUCGUUUUUACGAAUACUCAAAAUUAGCACUUUAAGCAACGGGAUUUAUCCGUUGGCACUGUGCUUUAGCACUUUGAAAACUGCAUAUAUAUUUAGUGAUAUGACAUCUAAUUUGUAAUAUAUAAAGCUGAUAACUUUUUAAAAUUAUCGAAGUUGAUAGCUUCUAAUCUAUCAAACCUUUUUAACUGGUCAA
rnacentral:misc_RNA from 1 species